GUGCCAGCCGCCGCGGUAAUUCCACGCUCCAAUAGCGUAUAUUAAAGUUGUUGUGGUUAAAAAGCUCGUAGUUGAACCUUGGGCCUGGCUGGCCGGUCCGCCUCACUGCGUGCACUGGUCCGGCCGGGCCUUUCCCUCUGUGGAACCCCAUACCCUUCACUGGGCGUGGCGGGGAAACAGGACAUUUACUUUGAAAAAAUUAGAGUGCUCCAGGCAGGCCUAUGCUCGAAUACAUUAGCAUGGAAUAAUAAAAUAGGACGCGCGGUUCUAUUUUGUUGGUUUAUAGGACCGCCGUAAUGAUUAAUAGGGACAGUCGGGGGCAUCAGUAUUCAACUGUCAGAGGUGAAAUUCUUGGAUCAGUUGAAGACUAACUACUGCGAAAGCAUUUGCCAAGGAUGUUUUCAUUAAUCAGGAACGAAAGUUAGGGGAUCGAAGGCGAUCAGAUACCGUCGUAGUCUUAGCCAUAAACUAUGCCGACUAGGGAUCGGACGGUGUUAUUCAUGACCCGUUCGGCACCUUACGAGAAAUCAAAGUGCUUGGGCUCCAGGGGGAGUAUGGUCGCAAGGCUGAAACUUAAAGAAAUUGACGGAAGGGCACCACCAGGGGUGGAGCCUGCGGCUUAAUUUGACUCAACACGGGGAAACUCACCAGGUCCAGACACAAUAAGGAUUGACAGAUUGAGAGCUCUUUCUUGAUUUUGUGGGUGGUGGUGCAUGGCCGUCUUAGUUGGUGGGGUGACUUGUCUGCUUAUGCGAUAACGAACGAGACCUAACCUGCUAAAUAGCCCGCAUUGG
rnacentral:rRNA from 1 species